rnacentral:rRNA from 1 species
UACAGAGGUCCCGAGCGUUGUUCGGAUUCAUUGGGCGUAAAGGGUGCGUAGGCGGUUUUUUAAGUUUGAUGUGAAAUCCCGGGGCUUAACCCUGGAAUUGCAUUGAAUACUGAAGAACUAGAGUACUGGAGAGGAAACUGGAAUUUACGGUGUAGCAGUGAAAUGCGUAGAGAUCGUAAGGAAGACCAGUGGCGAAGGCGAGUUUCUGGACAGUUACUGACGCUGAGGCACGAAGGCCAGGGGAGCGAACGGG